rnacentral:lncRNA from 1 species
AAGCUUAUUUAUUGUAAUUUUCUUAAUUUUUUUUGUUGAAAGGUUGUCUUCUCGUAAAGUUGUGUCUUUUAGAUUAGAGAUGUGUUUCUCUUUAGGGUUGUGUCUUUUAGAUUAGAAGAUGUGUUUUUUCAUUAGUGACGUGUGUGAAGAGUUGUAUCCCUCCAUUCUCUAUAAAUAGGGGCAUGUGUUUUUUUGUUUUGUAUCAAGUCAUCUUGUACUUGAGUUCAUUCCAUAUUGAAAUAAAUCUUAUUUUCUCAAACUAUUACAUUUAAUAGUUCAUAGAUUUGGAAGCCAACCAACAUUUGGUAUCAGAGCCAAGGCAAAGGGGUAUCAGAGCCAAGGCAAAGGGGAGAUUCUGUCAAGGAAAAUGGCCACCAAUCUUUUUCAACCUCAAAUUUCAAAACUUUCAAAGGAGAAUUAUAAGAAUUGGUCUCUUCAAAUGAAGGCAUUGUUUGGAUCCCUAGAUCUAUGGAAGAUCGUCAAUAAUGGGUAUCAUGAACCCAUAGCUCAAGAAGAAGCCGGUCUUUCUGCAAAUCAAAGAAAUGAGUUGAAAGAUGCAAGAAGGAUAAGAAGGCUUGGUUCUUCCUUUAUCAAGCAGUGGAGUCUUCCUUUGAGAAAAUUGCCGAAGCGGCGUCUAGCAAGGAAGCAUGGGAUAUCCUCGCCAUCAUCUUCAAAGGAGAUGAGUGUGUGAAGUGGAUUCGCUUAUAGAAGUUGCAAGCCGAGUUUGAAGGCAUCCGCAUGGAGUUCGAAAGUGUUGCGGACUGUUUUUCGGAUUUUGGUUAUUGUGAAUCAAAUGAAGAGAUAUGGUGAGAUACUUGAAGAUGUUCGAGUUGUAGAGAAUGUUUUACGCUCAUUAUCUCCAAAGUUUGAGCACAUCGUCGUUGCCAUAGAGGAGUUGAAGGACAUCGAGUCCCUCUUUAUCGAUCAACUAAUAGGAUCCCUUCAAGUACAUGAGUAAAGAUUGCAAAAGAAUUCUGAAGAUGAGUCAACAGAACAAAUUCUCAAGUCAAAAUUGAAACUUAACUACCAAAAGAGCAAAAGUUAUGGAAAAAGUAAUAAUAGAAACAAAAGAUAUGGUCAUGACCGAUAGAAUAGCAACAAAGAUGGUUACAAUUCACGAUUCGAGAUUGUCAUCAAAAGAGAUGGACGCUCAGAUUCGUAUGGUGGUGCAAAAUCUAAUAUCCAAUGCUAUAAUUGUAAAAAAUAUGGACACUGCGGCAAAGAUUGUUGGCAUAAGAAUACUAAAGAAAUGAACAACUAUAUCGAUGGUAUAAUAGAAGGAGAAACUACGCUUCUACUCACAUGACAAGAAGUUGUUGAAGAUCCACAAAAUAUAUGGUUUCUCGAUUUUGGAGCUUCAAAUCAUGUGUGGUAAUAAGAAAUUGUUUGUUAAAAUGGAGAAGGAUGUACAUGGUAAUAUAAAAUUUGGUGAUUCGUUAAAAGUACCUAUGAAAGAAAAAGGAAAAAUCAUGUUUAAAUCUAAGAAUGGUGAACAAGAGUACAUCUCAAAUGUACACUUUGUAUCCGAUUUAAAGAGUAACAUACUAAGUAUUGGACAACUAUUGGAGAAAGAUUACACUAUUCACAUGGAGGACUCUAUCCUAACAUUGAAGGAUAAGAACAAAAGGAUAAUUGCAAAAGUGCACAUGUCAAAGAACUGAAUGUUUUUUAUUAAUAUAAAAAUCGAGAUUGAAAGAUGCUAUCAAGUAGAUUUGAAAGAAGAAUCAAGAUUAUGUCAUGGUGUCUGUUCGUGCUAGCAUCAUUCUUUUGAAAUGUUGAAGCCAAUGUUUGCAGAGAUAGAGGUCCGUCUAAAUUAGAUAUGUUGAGAAAAAUAUUUCGAGAUUCGGUCCACAAUAAGUUUAGAACGAGAUUAAGGAUGACGAACGGAAUUUAACGAGCCUAAGAACAGUCUAAACGGAGUUCGGAUGGUGAAGAUAUGCAUGAAGAAAGCCUGAGAGAUGGUACGGCCCAUAGGCCAUCGGAGGGACCCAUGAGCCGGUGCAGGCCGGUGGCGGCGCGGGCCAGGCUCGACAGUGCGCUAGUGUUCGUCCAACAGUGCGCUGGGCCUGCCCAGGCACCCGUGCAGCCCGCACGUGCGGGCGCCUAGGCCCGCCUGGGAUCACGGUCCAUCGUGGACUGUGCGCUCUGUCGGGGCUCAUAGUCGGGUGUGGAUUGGAGCGUGAUUUGACGGCUGAUGUCGCUUGUGGUGGGGAUCUGACGGCUGGAGCCUUUGUGCGAUCGGACGAGUUAGAUGCAUGCCUGUGAGGAUCCGACGGCCACAGUUUUGGCGUGAUCCGAUGGCUCUGGAGCGAGUCGGUCGUGAUCGGACGGCCAUGGUGAAAUCCGACUUUGAUCAGGCAUGAUCAAGGUUGAUAUGCAUGAUUGGACAGCUCUGGUUUGAGCCGGUCACGAUCGGACAAUUCAUAAGGGUUCUAGGAUUUGAUUUGAGUCUGGCAUCCGAGUAAAACACUAUUUUGGAGUUUCUGGAGGCUAUAUAGCUCAGAUUGAUAAGUUAUUUGUUGCGUUGGAUAGCUGGUGACGUCCUGAUCGUGUAGAGAGAUUUCAAAAGAAGUUUCAGAGAGCUUUUGUGAGGGUUUUGGGGCUUGUUGAGAGAUUUUUAUACAAGGGUUAAGUGAUGAGUUCAUCUUGUAUUUGUUUGAUUUUUUUUCUCUCAUAGGGAAGCUUGCACGCCUCGUGGAGGUAGGCUUGAGGCCAAUCCAUGUUACCUUGAUUUGUUUAUGGUAUUUUUCUCUUUUUUUUCUUCCUCCCUCAACAAGUGGUAUUAGAGUGCAACAAGAUACACCUAUGAUCUCAAGAGGUAGAAUGAUUAGUCCAUUGUUAGAUCUUCAUGCAAAAAAUGAUGAAGAAAGCCUUCUCUCACCUACAUGUGAGAAUGCUCCACCAUUGCCUAUACAUAAACCAAUUGUUUUUGGAACUGGGAUAGUUGUAUUCACUGAGGCAAUAACACCAAAGUAUGUCGAAGCUGGAGAUGAUACACCUCAUCUUUACAUAACAGAUGCUUUUAAGGCUGUUUUAUCCUAUUAAUAGAAGUAUUCUUUUGCAAGUAACCGGCUAUCUAGUCCUACCCCUUCCGAGGAGGAUAAUGAUAAAAAUAAUGCUCAGGAUGAAGUCACUAGUGUUUUAGCCAACAGUCAGAUUCAAGUUGCUACUAACAGUGUUACUUGUCCAGAUAGCUCAAGUAAUCAUCAGCAAGGUACUGAUAAACUUGGACAGUUGAGUUCAACAUCAAAUAUGGCUACAAGGCUUGCUUUGAAGAGUAGGGACCCAAGGCUUAAGUUUGUUAGCUCUGAAAGUGGAAGUGCUUUGGAUCCUAACAUACAGGAGAUGUUCUUGGACUAUAGUGCUCCAAAUAAUGGCUCUAUAACCCACCUUAGGAAGCAUAAGAUGGUUGAUGAGUAUUUGCUUGAGAAUCAUAUCUUGAAAAAACAAAGAAAUGGACUUACAAAUUCAGGUGAUGUGCAGAUGAUACUAGGAAAAGGAGGUGGGUGGGUAGACGACAAUAGUGCUGUGGGCACUCAACCAAGUAACAUGACUUGAUUAAAGAAAAGGCUUGGAGUACGAUUUAAAAAAAAAGGGGUAAAAGAGAACGAUUUUAACCAGGUUGACCAGUGCAAAAAAAAUUGAUCGCAAAGUUUGAGAUAGAAAGAGAUCGUUACUAUCAAUGAAGAGGCACGGUUGUCCAAUGAAGAGGCACGAUUGAAAAGGGAUUGUUGUUUAAAAGAGAAGAACAAGUGAACCGUAUGUACUGGUGUCCCUUGGAUAAAGGAAGUUAUGGAAUAGUUAUUCUUUGAAACCCUUGGAUAAAAGAUAGUUACUAGUAAGCACCUUUUCAUGUCCCUUGAAUAAAGGAAGUUAUGAGAUAGUUAUUCUUUGAAACCGUGAGCACCUUUUCAUGUCUAUAUAAAGUAAUAGAUUGCCCAUAAAGUUCUUUCACUUAUCAGAGUGUGUCUAAGGCUGCAAAGUGGAAGAAUGGAGAAGGAAGUAAAAAUCUCUUACAAGAAUUUGCUACAAGAAUAUUGUCAAAAACAUCACAUACCAUUACUGCAAUAUUCAACUUUCAAGUAAGGAUUAGAUCAUUUGCCGGAAUUUUAUUCUUUAGUUCAAGUAUGUGAAAAGUUGUACAUGGAAAACAUGAUUGACGAAGAAGAAUGCCAAAUAAAAUGCCACAGAAUAUGCUUUUAAGAGAAUUGUAGGUCCUUAUUGGCCUAUGAAUACUUACAAUUUUUCACAGACCUUGGUGAAGAAUCUUGAAAAAGCAAAUAUUUUCUUAGAAAAGGAAAACAUGGCAUUGAAUGUGGAAAACAAAUCUUUGGAGAAUGCAAUCAACGAACAAGCAUGCGAGAUUAGAAGACUAAUUGUGGAAAAGAAAGAUUUACAAAAAAAGCUCCAAGUUUACAAAGAUCCAAUUGAAGAAGAUGAGGAUAGUUGUGCAUAAACAAGCUUAAGGGGGAAUUUGUUAGAGUAUAAGCUUAUUUAUUGUAAUUUUCUUAUUUUUUUUUGUUAAAAGGUUGUGUCUUUUCAUAAAGUUGUGUCUUGUAGAUUAGAGAUGUGUUUCUCCUUAGGGUUGUAUCUUUUAGAUUAGAUGUGUUUUUUCAUUAGCGACAUGUGUGAAGAGUUGUAUCCCUCCAUUCUCUAUAAAUAGGGGCAUGUGUUUUUUUGUUUUAUAUCAAGUCAUCUUAUACUUGAGUUCAUUCCAUAUUGAAAUAAAUCUUAUUUUUCUCAAACUAUUACAUUUAAUAGUUCAUAGAUUUGGAAGCCCACCAACACUUUUCCUCUUGAUAUCGAUGGUUUAAUCUUGUUUUGGCUGCCGGAAUUGGAUCGAUUCUCAUCGGAGACC